CCGCGUCCCGUGCGGGGGUUUGACAGCCGAGCCCUGCAGCCUGGAAGCAGAUCGGCUGUGGAACGGGGAAUCACCAUCUGCCGGCAGCUUCUCUGGGAAGAGCUCAGCCAGUCUGACGUCACAUACACGACGUUCUUUGGCCCUGAGGGUGAAAAGGCAUGCGUGAUGCUUUGCUCUGUUCCUGCUGUUCCUGCUGCUCCCGGUCCGACCUUUCCCCCCACGCUGCAGAAUCGGUGCCUGCAUUAAAACGGAUCAUCUUAUUUUUAUUUUUCUUUAAGUAGAGAUGAGUUACAAAGAACAAAAUGAAACUGUCUGUGUACAGAAAUUCUGGGCUUCUGUAAGUCACAAGUGAAGCUGUACGUGAUAAUUUACAGCCCAGUAAGAUUCCAUCCCAAUAACUGCAAAACCACUUCAAAAAAAACCCAACAAAACACGAAACCCAAAGACCAUGAAAAACACACACACACACACACACACAGACACGGGUUAAAGUGAAAGAAGGGAACCGAGAACAAAAACAGUGAGAUCAGAGCAGGGCCCGCGCCUUCAGCCGCUGCUCUCUGUGCCUGUCAGUUCCGGAGCCGCCGGCCAGAGCUGCGCAGGACGAGCGGAGCCCAGCGCGUGGCUGCAGCCCUCGUGGAGCCCCGCGGCGGCGGGGCGCGGUGCGCGGGGCCGGGUGUCACAGCCCGGCAUGAGAAGCGCCGGCUCUAAGCGCUCAGAGCCUCGCUCAGCGCUGCCGCCGCUCCGACACAAACCGCGCCGUGCUCGGUGCCCGCGGUGCGCGGCCCGGACGGGACCGCGGCCCAUCCCGGCACGGGGCGCUGGGAGCCGAGGGAGACACUUGGUGGCACCGGGCGGCCCCGGUUCUUAUCGGCAAUGGGUAAUCCUUCCUGUGAGUAGAGCUCCUGCAGCUGGAAUCCUCAUUUUGCUGGAAGCGGACGAGCUUUGCGGGGCUGCCCCUUGUGAUGGCAGGUAAUGUUUGGUCAGACUCUUGCUCGGGGCUGUUUCGGGUGCGGAGUUCCUCGGACGCCGAGUCCUAUGGAUUUCAAUGGGAGCAGGGGCUCCGCCCGUUGGGUUGCUAUUGAAAAAGCCUCAAACUCCGCAGGGUUUGAACGUCGCAAUGCCUUCCAGCGCUUCCCCUGCGGGGCUGCUUCGUGCUGCCCGACUGCCAGGUCAGUUUUGUAGGUCAGAAGGCUUUGGGCUGGUAAAGACUCCUAAUUACAUUAAUGCAGGGGAAAAAGAAAACAAAGCGCUUUUUUUUUUUUUAACCCAGGCUUCUUAAGUAGCUUUUACUUUAUUUUUUUUUGUGGUGAGAUAAAAGCGUAUUUUUGAGAACUGCCAACUACAGAAGAGAAACUUCGCCUCCUUGAUUUUACCGACAGAGCCAACCCAGCAGCAAAGUGUGGAGCAGCAGCAAAGUGAGAGGUCAAAAAGCGUGAGUCAGCCUCAGCAAAGCCCACUUUGUCUUGAAGAGAAAAACAAAGCGCAGAAAAC
rnacentral:lncRNA from 1 species